GGAUUGGGCUGGAGGCAGAGGACAAAGGGCAACUCUGGCACUCCUUUAUACAGUUUCAGGAUGCAAGCUCGAGGCUUCUUGAUCCUAUGUGUUGUAUUGAGUGUUGGUCACUGGUCUUUGGGAAGCUUGGACAGAAGUGGGGCAGCCAUGGAGCUGCUGACUGGGACUGGCCUGUGGCCCGUGGUCAUAGUCACAGUCAUCUUCAUAUUACUGGUGGACAUGUUGCACCGGUGCCAGCGCUGGACUUCUUGCUGCCCACCAGACCCUGUGCCAUGGCCUGUGCUGGGUAACCUGCUGCAGGUGGACCUGGAUAACAUGCCAUAUAACUUGUACAAGGUGUGGUCCUUGCUCCUUAUGGGCCUGAGUGGAAAGAGCAGAGGUGAUUCUCUGCGUCGACCCUGUGCAACUUCAGCCUGGGCAAGAAAUCACUGGAGCAGUGGGUGAUGGAAGAGGUUGGACACCUCUUUGAUGUCUUCACUGCCCAUGCUGAGGAGGCUGUAGACAAGAGAUUUGGAAAGAACACAUCUAGAAGUGUCCACCACAGUAAUAGGAGCCUGGAGAUUGACAUACAGCAAAAGGAAGUGAGAAGCUGACCAAGGUCAGGGCUUCUAGAAGCUGAGACCCUGGCCCUCUGCCCACAUGGAACAUCUGUGAGAUUUUCCAGGUUCUGAACACAUUCCCAAUUCUCCUACGCAUCCCAGGGUUGGCUGACAAAGUCUUCCCUGGGCAAAAGACAUUUCUCAUAAUGGUGGAUAAGCUGGUGACUGAGCACAAGAGGACCUGGAACUCGGACCAGCCGCCUCGAGACCUGACUGAUGCCUUUAUGGCUGAGAUGGAGAAGGCAAAGGGAAACCCUGAGAGUAGCUUCAAUGAUGCAAAUCUAUGUCUGGUUGUCCUUGACCUGCUGGGUGCUGCAACUGUGACCACCUCAACCACACUGUCCUGGGCCCUGCUGCUUAUGAUCCUGCAUCCGGAUGUGCAGUGUGAGCCUGGCUGGGGCUGUCAAGAAAGGAGGAGGAGGGUAGAGGCAAACUCCUUAAACUUACUUGGGACACUUGUAGAUCCCAGCAUUGAGUUAACCCAGACUGCAGCCAAGUACAACAGGAAAUCGAUGAGGUCAUUUGGUAUGUGUGGCUUCCAGAGAUGGCAGACCAGGUCUGCAUGCCCUUCACCAAUGCUGUCAUUCAUGAGGGCAUGACUCUCAUCUCCAACCUGUUCCGUGCUGAAGGAUGAGACUGUCUGGGAGAAGCCCCUUCGCUUCCAUCCUGAACACUUCCUGGAUGCCCAGGGCCACUUUGUGAAGCCUGAGGCCUUCAUGCCAUUCUCAGCAGGUGCCUCUAGGGUGCCUUCCUGCCUAUCUUUCCCUAGGGUGCCUUGGAGGGUGGAGCACCAAUCAGGUCCCAGACUGAGCCCUCUUCUACACAUAGGCCACAGAUCAUGCCUGGGGGAGCCCCUGGCCCUCAUGGAGCUCUUCCUCUUCUUCACCUGCCUCCUGCAGCGCUUUAGCUUCUCAAUGCCAGCUGGACAAUCCCUUCCCAGUGAUUAUGGCAUCUAUACAAUGCCAGUUACUCCAGCACCUACCAGCUCUGUGCAGUGGUUUGCUAGCAGGGGCAGUGGCUCCAGCCAUCAUCACAGAUUGUUCUGACUGAUGUCCAAUAAACAAGUUUUGUGUCUGAA
rnacentral:lncRNA from 1 species